UACGGGGGGGGCAAGCGUUGUUCGGAAUUACUGGGCGUAAAGGGCUCGUAGGCGGCCAACUAAGUCAGACGUGAAAUCCCUCGGCUUAACCGGGGAACUGCGUCUGAUACUGGAUGGCUGGAGUUUGGGAGAGGGAUGCGGAAUUCCAGGUGUAGCGGUGAAAUGCGUAGAUAUCGGGAGGAACACCAGUGGCGAAGGCGACUACCUGGCCUGUUCUUGACGCUGAGGCGCGAAAGCUAGGGGAGCAAACGGG
rnacentral:rRNA from 1 species